rnacentral:tRNA from 1 species
GCACCCGUAGCCAAAUCCGGCAAGGCAAUCGCCUGCAGAGCGAUCAUGUGUGAGUUCAAAUCUCACCGGGUGCU